AUGUAUGUGCGUGUGGUCGUCUGUGCGGGCCAUGCACUCUGGUCUGUACAUGCUCGCGCCACCACGCCGGUUGUAUACGUCCUGCUGUCUGCAUGUGCCAUGCACGUGGGUGUGCAUCUUCUGGAGCCACCCCGUCUGUCGUACACGCCGUGGUACCUGUAUGGGCCAUGCACGUGGGUGUGCAGUUGCUGGAGCCAUCCCGUCCGGUGUACACGCCAUGUUGCCUGCAUGGGCCAUGCAUACUGUCCUGUAGCUGUUAGCGGCACCUUCUUUACAUCCAUGCACAUGCACGUGCUUUUAUUGUUCGUGCUCUCUUCUUUACUCUUUUUCUGUUUCUUUAUUUGUGUUUUUUGUCUUGUGUUUAUUUGGUCAUAUAAUCUUGUUUGA
rnacentral:rRNA from 1 species